UUUUUAACAGUUAAACCUAAAAACACAAACAUAACGUUCACACCAGAAAAAGCUGUAGUUAAUGGAUCGGUUACCAUAACGUGUAACUCUGAAGGUCUUCCUGAACCAAGUUAUAGCAUAAUCCAUAAUGGUACCGAGGUCAGUACUGACAAGACGUAUACCAUAGAUGAUGUGCAGUACAGACACGCUGGAAUAUAUACAUGCGUCGCAAUGAAUAAACGUGGAGAAGAUUCAGCUUCUGCUAAUUUAACUGUCAUAGA